rnacentral:rRNA from 1 species
CCUACGGGUGGCUGCAGUGGGGAAUAUUGGACAAUGGGGGCAACCCUGAUCCAGCCAUGCCGCGUGUGUGAAGAAGGCCCUCGGGUUGUAAAGCACUUUCAGUGAGGAAGAACGCCUGGUGGUUAAUACCCAUCAGGAAAGACAUCACUCACAGAAGAAGCACCGGCUAACUCCGUGCCAGCAGCCGCGGUAAUACGGAGGGUGCGAGCGUUAAUCGGAAUUACUGGGCGUAAAGCGCGCGUAGGUGGCUUGAUAAGCCGGUUGUGAAAGCCCCGGGCUCAACCUGGGAACGGCAUCCGGAACUGUCAAGCUAGAGUGCAGGAGAGGAAGGUAGAAUUCCCGGUGUAGCGGUGAAAUGCGUAGAGAUCGGGAGGAAUACCAGUGGCGAAGGCGGCCUUCUGGACUGACACUGACACUGAGGUGCGAAAGCGUGUGUCUCAAACAGGAUUACCUCCCCGGGUAGUC